UACGAAGGGGGCUAGCGUUGCUCGGAAUCACUGGGCGUAAAGCGCACGUAGGCGGAUUGCUAAGUCAGGGGUGAAAUCCCUCGGCUUAACCGGGGAACUGCGUCUGAUACUGGAUGGCUUGAGUUUGGGAGAGGGAUGCGGAAUUCCAGGUGUAGCGGUGAAAUGCGUAGAUAUCUGGAGGAACACCGGUGGCGAAGGCGGCAUCCUGGACCAACACUGACACUGAGGAGCGAAAGCCAGGGGAGCAAACGGG
rnacentral:rRNA from 1 species